CUGGCGAGUGUGAAUGUGUUUUCUUUGAUUGAAGAAUACAAAACCUAUUUUCAAAUGGUAAUUAACCGACUUUUUUGUCCAAAGCUCCUGUUAUUCGUUGUAUGGAUGUGUCUGGCGUUGGACUGGAAGACCGCCUCCGCUGAACGGUGUGCGCCGGGAUAUACCUACCAAUAUGGUCACUGCCGCAAAAGAAUCUGAGCAAUCCGCAUACUAUUUGACAAUUCUCAUUGAAACCACUUUAACAUCAAAAUAUAGUGCAUAAGAAACAUCGAAAGCACAACAAACGUUUGGUUGCAUUCUGUCCGGGCUUGUCAACCGGGCUCACGUAUUUUUUAAGCUGUUGCAUUACCUUGUGCAGUGAGAAAGGGAUCAAUAGAAACCGUAGAAACUGAAAACCAACACCCAUAAGUAUUGGCUUAACUAUUGUAUUAGAUAUGCCAAAGAGCGCUUUGAAAUAUUGUAAAAUGAAGUAGAAUUUAACACCAUACACGAACGCGGGGCUAUUUAAGUUGUAAGAUUUAUUGGUAUAAUACACUUCGUGUUAUAGAAUACCAGAUGCGGCUACAGAAUUCGCUUUAUAAGCGAGAACUGAAGCUCAGUUACUCAGUCUCUAGAGCAAUACUGGCGAGUUACUUGAGUUUGAUUGAAGAACACAAAACCCAUUUUACAAUGCUAAUCUACCGACUUUCCUGUCAGAAGCUCCUGUUAUUAUUUCUAUGGAUGGUUCUGGAAUUGGAUUGGUCGGACGACAAAACUAAAGAAUGUGAGGAGGAGGGAUUCAGUUAUAUCAAGACUCUUCGUCGUUGUGUAGAUAAUAAGUAUGGCUAUGGCUAGGUAUCAAAUGGCACGAGGCAACUCGUUCCUGCAGAAAUCCAAAGGCUGGAGAAAUUACAAAUCUACACAUGGAUUAGCUAGUGCAUGAUAAUAAAACAAAUCGAAAUAUA